AUGAAACACUUCACUUUAAUGGCUCAGGUGCACAGAAGGCCUGGAACAACGAUGAACAGCGUGAGCGUGUAAAAACGUGAGGAAAGUUCUGGAUACGUGUGUGAUUGUAAUUAAAGAUAAAGGUGCGCGGGUUAAUAAUUACAGGUGUGUGAUCAUGGGGCGAAGGAAGAGGAAGUUCUCAUCCAUCAUUCAGCAAGUGGAAACCUGUGUACGGUGAACAAGAAGUGGAUUUCAGGUGUUCUGAUAUCGGGCCUCGUUUAUCGCACGGAUUUAUUCAUAAGUUGCCCGCAGGAACAUUUACAGCCGAGGUCAUAAGUUUACAUACGCCUUGCGACCUCGUGACCUCAACUGUACACAAGAAAUGCGGUGGUCGUGAAAGUUCUGCUUAUUUGUAAAAAAAAAAAAACAACAACAACAACAAAAAAAAAACAUUCGCAUCCUACAGCAGCUCCUGAGUUUGUGGAAAUUUGCAUAUAAGGACGCUCACUAGCGUGAACUUCGAUCGAUUAUCGGAUUCAGAUCGCCUAAUCGUUAACGAGUUAGUGCGGUUUAAUAAAUGGAGGAAGAGUUAGUGUGUGUCUGUGCUAGCUGACACGCUGCACUGUUUUUUUUAUUAUUAUUUUUUCCGUUUUAUUAGCUCUCUGUGAGCUUGACCUUUUAUGGAGUUUUGUGGGCGUCGCUAAAUGUAAAUCAGCUGUGCCGUGAAUGUGCUUUACACUCUAACGGGCUAGUACGAAAGAAAUGGGCUUUACACGCAACUUUACGAAAAGAAGGACAAAGAAAAGGCCCUCUGAAAAGAACAGCUGGCAGUCGGAACACUGACAAUAAAUCUCAUACUUUACACACUAGGCUGCAGCUCAUUAGUCACAAUCGUUAAAAGCCCGCCCGCUUUACUGUUUCACUGGCGCUGCCUUCAAAGCCCCGGCGCUGCCUUUCAUCUCCCUCUCACCUGCUCCUCCUACGCCUGUGAGAAAGAGGAGCGUGAGGAAGAAAUUCGUCCCACAGGCAUGUGCACG
ensembl:lncRNA